GGUGAGAGGUUAUUCCGUUGCAUAGCUUUCGGUCUCGAUAAUCGUUCUUUUAUAUUGGUGUAAAUGUUUCGCUUAAUUACAACGAGAUACAUUCGAACAUUCAGAAAAAUUUCUGAAACAUCCACGUUGCUUUACAAAUUACCAAAUUUUUACUACGACGGAGUUCGGGGUAAUGGCUGAAUCAAUUGGGCGUAGUGAAUAUGUAGGCCACGUGGCAAAGCAACUUACUCGGGAAGAAAUUGAAAAAAUGCAGGCGCAAGAUUCACGAUUAGUCUCCGAAUUUCGAGCCAAUCAACUGGAAAAAGACGCUAAAAAGCAUUGGGACCUAUUUUAUAAGCGAAACGAUACUAGAUUCUUUAAAGACAGACAUUGGACUACCAGAGAAUUCAAUGAAUUAUUGGGUGUGGGUACAAAAGAAGAUGAUAAUGUUCUUCUUGAAGUCGGUUGCGGUGUUGGAAACUUCAUAUAUCCUUUGAUCGAGGAUGGAUUGAAAUUUAGAGCAAUAUUUGCAUGUGAUCUCUCUCCAAGAGCUGUGGGAUUGACAAAGAGUCAUUCGCUAUAUGAUCCAACAAAUAUGAGAAUCUUCCAAACGGAUAUUACAACAGACAAUUGUUUUCGCGAGGUAGAUUGCCCGGUGAAUGUAGUAACAUUAAUAUUCGUUUUAUCCGCUAUUCAUCCAGAAAAGUUUAGAAAAGUUAUCGAAAAUUUGUACAACAUUCUUGAUAACGGAGGAAUUGUGCUUUUUAGAGAUUACGGUUUAUAUGAUAUGGCUCAAUUAAGGUUUAAACCUGGUCACAAAAUCAGUGAAAAUCUUUAUAUGAGACAAGACGGUACUAGGACAUACUAUUUCUCAAAAGAAGAAGUGUCGAGUUUAUUUGAAUCUGUUGGCUUUGAAAUUUUAACAUGUACUUAUAUACAAAGACGCACCAUAAACUUGAAAGAAGGAAUAGAUGUACCCAGAAUUUUUGUUCAAGGAAAGUUCAAGAAGCUUUGAUAAUAUUGAAUGUGAACUCAAUGAUGAUAACUGCACACUAUUCAAAAUCUCUGUUGCUGAAUGUGAAAUUGAAUAGAAGCUGAAGAACACUGGUAUGACGAGAAAAUGAAUAUUUUAAACGAGAAAAGUUGGAUGAAAUCUGCAAGCCUCUAAUCACAGAUUAUCAGGGAG